rnacentral:rRNA from 1 species
ACGAACGCUGGCGGCAUGCCUAACACAUGCAAGUCGAACGAGACCUUCGGGUCUAGUGGCGCGCGGGUGCGUAACGCGUGGGAACCUGCCCUUAGGUUCGGAAUAACUCCCCGAAAGGGGUGCUAAUACCGGAUAAUGUCUUCGGACCAAAGAUUUAUCGCCUUUGGAUGGGCCCGCGUUGGAUUAGCUAGUUGGUAGGGUAAAAGCCUACCAAGGCGACGAUCCAUAGCUGGUCUGAGAGGAUGAUCAGCCACACUGGGACUGAGACACGGCCCAGACUCCUACGGGAGGCAGCAGUGGGGAAUAUUGGACAAUGGGCGAAAGCCUGAUCCAGCAAUGCCGCGUGAGUGAUGAAGGCCUUAGGGUUGUAAAGCUCUUUUACCCGGGAUGAUAAUGACAGUACCGGGAGAAUAAGCUCCGGCUAACUCCGUG